AGAAACAGUGCAAAUGAAGAGACUGCAAACCCUAACAGCAUCUCGAUGGAGACUGAAAAUGGAAACAGAUAAAGAAAGGAUUGCUUUAUACAACCCAAAAAAGCCAUUCUUUUCUUACUACAUCUACAUAUGUUUACAUACGUUUAUAUAUCUUCUCUCAUUUUGAUUUCUUCUUCCCAAAUCCUAAGGCACAUUCUUUUUUAGUACAACAAUAAACCCAGAAAGCAGAAACCUGAAAAACCAAUCCCACAAGAAAAAGAACCAUGUCUUUGAGCCCACCGGGGACAAGAUCCGAUGACACAACCACAAGAACCUUCCAGCCGUACUGGUGCUACCAGUGCCAUCGAAUGGUCAGGAUUGCCCCAUCAGACUCAUCUGAAAUCAUCUGUCCCCGAUGUUCCGGGCAGUUCCUUUGUGAAGUUGAGAUGAACAGACCGAGAUUAGUUGUUGAUUUCACUGCUUUUGAUCCCUCUCCUGAAGCUCGCUUACUUGAAGCGCUCUCCCUCGUGCUUGACCCUCCAAUUAGAAGGUUAAAUUUUGGUCUCGUUGAUAAUAUGGAAUCCGAAUCUCGUGGCAGGUCCUGGUUUCGGAGACGAAAUCGAUUGGACCCAGAUGCUGAAACCCGUCCCCAGAGACGUCGAAAUCGUAGUUUAGAUGGGAGAGAGAACAGGGAAGAUGAACCAGGACUCCAGUUUAGACCAAGAACGUGGAUCGUCUUUAGACCAAUAGAUCCUUUCGCUCCAACUGAACCCGAUUUGCAACUUGAAAAUCCGAUGCCUCCCAGGGUUAAUCCCAGAAACUACUUUUUCGGCCCAGGUCUAAACGAAUUGAUCGAACAACUGGGCCAAAAUGACCGGCCAGGACCACCACCGGCACCCGAAUCAGUUAUUGACGCAAUACCAACGGUGAAGAUCGAGGCAAGUCAUUUGGUGAAUGAAUCGAAUUGUCCUGUUUGCAAGGAAGAGUUCAAGAUUGGAGGGGAGGCAAAGGAACUGCCUUGCAAACACAUAUACCAUAAUGAUUGUAUUGUGCCCUGGUUAAGGUUACACAACACUUGCCCAGUUUGUCGAAAGGAGUUGCCACUUGCUCCUGAAAGUAGCACUCAUGCACCUGAUGAUCAUCAUGAAUGCGAGCAUGGAGAGGACAGGAAUGGAAGGUGCCUAUGGUGGAGGAGGCAAUUGGCAAACUUGUGGCCAUUUCGUCCAAGGUCUGCAAGAAUCAGUCCUCAUGGAGAUCAUGACGGUGCUUCUCAGGGAGGAAUGUAAAUGUAUAAACUAGUAAUGGAAGGGCACUGCGGAAAGACAUUCUGUAUAGCAGGUAAAUUACUGGACUUACCUGGUUUCGGAGGUUAUUUCAGCAAUUUACCCGAUGAUGAACAAUUGUGCAUAAGAGAAAUUACCCCAAGCUUAUAUACCGAAUCAGUUCUGCUCUCCAAUGCAAUUAACAAAGUUGUAUUUGUUUCUUUCAUUUGAAAGAUACGAUGGAAUAACGAGUAUACUGCAAUCAUUUUAUCAAACCCAGUAAUGCGUGUGAUGAUUGAAACAAGAAACUUCAGAAGUAGCUCCCUAUCCACUCCCUAAAAAUUUUUUUAUUGAAAUU